UAAGCAGGACAGGCGGCCGCUGCCGGCAGACCGAAAGGUGCCGGGAGAGGAAAGUCCGGGCUUCACAGGGCAGGAUGCCGGAUAACGUCCGGUGGAGGCGACUCCCAGGAAAGUGCAACAGAAAUGUACCGCCGGGAUUUUCCCGGUAAGGUUGGAAGGGCAGUGUAAGAGACUACCGCCCGCCCGGUAACGGGCGGGGCACAUGCAAACCCCAUCCGAAGCAAGGCCGAAACGAAGCAUAUGGCUGCCCGUCAGCUUCAGGUAGGCUGCUUGAGCCCGCCGGCAACGGCGGGCCUGGAUAGAUGGCCGUCCACGACAUAACCCGGCUUAUCGUCCUGCUUACAUC
rnacentral:RNase_P_RNA from 1 species